GACGAACGCUGGCGGCGUGCUUAACACAUGCAAGUCGAACGGUAAGGCCCUUCGGGGUACACGAGUGGCGAACGGGUGAGUAACACGUGGGUGAUCUGCCCUGCACUUCGGGAUAAGCCUGGGAAACUGGGUCUAAUAGCGGAUAGGACCACUGCCUGCAUGGGGGGUGGUGGAGAGCUUUUGUGGUGUGGGAUGGGCCCGUGGGCUAUCAGCGUGUUGGUGGGGUGAUGGCCUACCAAGGCGACGACGGGUAGCCGGCCUGAGAGGGUGACCGGCCACACUGGGACUGAGAUACGGCCCAGACUCCUACGGGAGGCAGCAGUGGGGAAUAUUGCACAAUGGGCGCAAGCCUGAUGCAGCGACGCCGCGUGAGGGAUGACGGCUUUCGGGUUGUAAACCUCUUUCAGCAUCGACGAAGCGCAAGUGACGGUAGGUGCAGAAGAAGGACCGGCCAACUACGUGCCAGCCGCCGCGGUAA
rnacentral:rRNA from 1 species